AGACUGAACCCCCAAACUGUGAGCCAGGAAAAACAAACUGUCCUCCUUGCUCUUUGGGGAUGAACUUCAGCUCAGAUUGCUAAGCUGGAGUGCCAGGACCUGGGAGUGCAGGUGAUCCCAGCUGGGUUCUUCGGAUCCUGCCCACCAAAUGCACCAACUAGGGAUUGGAUUUGGAGGGGUCAGACUGCCUUCCUGUGCUGAGGCCACCCUGCUCUUGGGGGAAAGCCCCUCACCAUCACUGGCCUCUUGUCAGCCAUUGUCACCAUCAUUGGCCUCCUAGUGGCUCAGUCAUUGUCCCCAGCCUGAAGCUAGUCCUGCAAACCAGGCUCAGUAGUGCAGGCCUUCAAUUCCAGAACUUAGAAGUAGAGGCGGGUGAAUCUCUGUGAGUUUGAGGUCAGUCUGCUUACAUAGUGAGUAGUGAGUUCUGGGCCAGGCAUGGUGUCAUAGUUAGACCCUGUCACAAAAAGAAAGGAAGGAAAGAAGCAAGGAAGAAAGGAGAGAGAGAG
rnacentral:lncRNA from 1 species